GAUGAACGCUGGCGGCGUGCUUAAUACAUGCAAGUAGAACGCUGAAGGAAGGAGCUUGCUCUUUCCGGAUGAGUUGCGAACGGGUGAGUAACGCGUAGGUAACCUGCCUGGUAGCGGGGGAUAACUAUUGGAAACGAUAGCUAAUACCGCAUAACAGUAGAUGUUGCAUGAUAUCUACUUAAAAGGUGCAAUUGCACCACUACCAGAUGGACCUGCGUUGUAUUAGCUAGUUGGUGAGGUAACGGCUCACCAAGGCGACGAUACAUAGCCGACCGGAGAGGGUGGGUGGCCACCCUGGGAGGGAGACACGGCCCAGACGCAUACGGGAGGCAGCAGGAGGGAAUCGUCGGCAAUGGGCGGAAGUCUGACCGAGCAACGCCGCGGGAGUGAAGAAGGUUGUCGGAUCGUAAAGCUCGGUUGUAAGAGAAGAACGAGUGUGAGAGUGGAAAGUUCACACUGUGACGGUAUCUUACCAGAAAGCGACGGCUAACUACGUG
rnacentral:rRNA from 1 species